rnacentral:rRNA from 1 species
GAUGAACGCUGGCGGCGUGCCUAAUACAUGCAAGUCGAGCGAACGGACGAGAAGCUUGCUUCUCUGAUGUUAGCGGCGGACGGGUGAGUAACACGUGGAUAACCUACCUAUAAGACUGGGAUAACUUCGGGAAACCGGAGCUAAUACCGGAUAAUAUUUUGAACCGCAUGGUUCAAAAGUAAAAGACGGUCUUGCUGUCACUUAUAGAUGGAUCCGCGCUGCAUUAGCUAGUUGGUAAGGUAACGGCUUACCAAGGCAACGAUGCAUAGCCGACCUGAGAGGGUGAUCGGCCACACUGGAACUGAGACACGGUCCAGACUUCUACGGGAGGCAGCAGUAGGGAAUCUUCCGCCAUGGGCGAAAGCCUGACGGAGCAACGCCGCGUGAGUGAUGAAGGUCUUCGGAUCGUAAAACUCUGUUAUUAGGGAAGAACAUAUGUGUAAGUAACUGUGCACAUCUUGACGGUACCUAAUCAGAAAGCCACGGCUAACUACGUG